AACGAACGCUGGCGGCAGGCUUAACACAUGCAAGUCGAACGCCCCGCAAGGGGAGUGGCAGACGGGUGAGUAACGCGUGGGAAUCUACCCAGAUCUUCGGAACAACUGAGGGAAACUUCAGCUAAUACCGGAUACGCCCUACGGGGGAAAGAUUUAUCGGAUUUGGAUGAGCCCGCGUUGGAUUAGCUAGUUGGUGGGGUAAUGGCCUACCAAGGCGACGAUCCAUAGCCGGUCUGAGAGGAUGAUCGGCCACACUGGGACUGAGACACGGCCCAGACUCCUACGGGAGGCAGCAGUGGGGAAUAUUGGACAAUGGGCGAAAGCCUGAUCCAGCCAUGCCGCGUGAGUGAUGAAGGCCUUAGGGUUGUAAAGCUCUUUCAGUAGGGAAGAUAAUGACGGUACCUACAGAAGAAGCCCCGGCUAACUUCGUGCCAGCAGCCGCAGUAACAC
rnacentral:rRNA from 1 species